rnacentral:snRNA from 1 species
AGCUUUGCGCAGUGGUAGUAUCAUAGCCAAUGAGGUUUAUCCAAGGUGCGAUUAUUGCUAAUUGAAACAAUCCCCUUUAUUUAUUUAUUUAUUUUUUUUUGAGAGAGAGAUUUUAGCUCUAAGGUGU